rnacentral:rRNA from 1 species
GAUGAACGCUGGCGGCGUGCUUAACACGUGCAAGUCGAACGAAGCACUUUAUUUGAUUUCCUUCGGGACUGAUUAUUUUGUGACUGAGUGGCGGACGGGUGAGUAACGCUUGGGUAACCUGCCUUGUACAGGGGGAUAACAGUUGGAAACGUCUGCUAAUUCCGCAUAAGCGCACAGCAUCGCAUGAUGCAGUGUGAAAAACUCCGGUGGUAUAAGAUGGACCCGCCUUGGAUUAGCUAGUUGGUGAGGUAACGGCCCACCAAGGCGACGAUCCAUAGCCGACAUGAGAGGGUGACCGGCCACAUUGGGACUGAGACACGGACCAAACUCCUACGGGAGGCAGAAGUGGGGACUAUUGCACAAUGGGCGAAAGCAUGAUGCAGCGACGCCGCGUGAGCGAAGAAGUAUUUCGGUAUGUAAAGCUCUAUCAGAAGGGAAGCUAAUGACGGUACCUGACUAAGAAGCACCGGCUAAAUACGUG